CAUACUUUGCAACUAGCCGUAUCAUUAAUUUUUCUAUUAAUUAAUUAAAAAAUUAUAAUAAUAUUAAUUAAAACAUUUUAACCCCUAGUAUGGGCGACAAAAAAGGAAAGAAGAGCAAUAGAUGAAGUACCGUGAGGGAACGAUGAAAGAGAAGUGAAAUAAAUCAUUUAAGUUUCAAAUAGCAGAGUUUACACCUCGUACCUUUUGCAUCAUGAUUUAGCGAGUACUAACAAGCAAAGAGCCCUUUAGUUUGUGACCCCGAAACUGAGCGAGCUACUUCAAGACAGCCUAUAAGGGCGAACCCGUCUCUGUGGCAAAAGGGUGGGAAGAUCUUUGAGUAGAGGUGACAGAUCUAUCGAGCGCAGUAAUAGCUGGUUACCUAAUAAAUGAAUAGGAGUUCAGCCCUUUAAAUUUCCUGUUUCACCUUGCGUGUGCUAGAGAAGAACAAGGAAAUUAAAGGAGUUAGUCAAAAGGGGAACAGCUCUUUUGACGAAAGAAACAACUUUAGUAGGUGCUUUAAGAUCAUAUUUCUUAAGGAAUUUGAUACAAGUGGGCCUAAAAGCAGCCAUCUUAAUAGAAAGCGUUAAAGCUCAAAUUAGACUAUAUCCAUUUAUACUGACAUUAAGUCUUCAUCCCUACAUUUUAUAUUAGGUUAUCUUAUGCAUCCAUAAGAGUAAUAAUGCUAAAAUGAGUAAUAAGAAAAAUUUAAUUUUUCUCCUAGCAUGUGUGUAAGUUGGAACGGACCUUCCGCCAACGAUUACCCGACCCCAAGUUUAGAGGGCGAUAAGUAUAUAAUAACAAGAAAAGUACUUAGUUUAAAUCGUUAACCCUACACAGGUAUGUAAUAAGGAAAGACUAAAAGAGAGGGAAGGAACUCGGCAAACAAGAGCCUCGCCUGUUUACCAAAAACAUCGCCUCUUGUUCUACUAAUAUAAGAGGUCUCGCCUGCCCGGUGACUAUAUGUUUAACGGCCGCGGUAUUUUAACCGCGCGAAGGUAGCGUAAUCAUUUGUCUUUUAAAUGAAGACCUGUAUGAAUGGUAUUACGAGGGCUCAACUGUCUCCCUUCUCCAGUCAAUGAAAUUGACCUCCCCGUGCAGAGGCGGGGAUAUUAAUAUAAGACGAGAAGACCCUGUGGAGCUUCAAGACCUAAAAUAAGCCAUGUUCAGGAAUCUAAAAUAUAAGUAAAAACUUAGUGGCAUCUAUUGAAGUGUCUUCGGUUGGGGUGACCCUGGGGAAAAAUUAAACCCCCAAGUAGACUGGGUACAUUGUCUCUAGAACUCAGAGCUCAUACUCCAAGUAACAGAAUAUUUGACUUUAUGAUCCGGUAUAACCGAUCAACGAACCAAGUUACCCCAGGGAUAACAGCGCAAUCCUCUUUAAGAGCCCAUAUCGACAAGGGGGUUUACGACCUCGAUGUUGGAUCAGGACAUCCUAAUGGUGCAGCUGCUAUUAAGGGUUCGUUUGUUCAACGAUUAAAGUCCUACGUGAUCUGAGUUCAGACCGGAGUAAUCCAGGUCGGUUUCUAUCUAUAAAAAACUUUUUUACAGUACGAAAGGACCUAAAAAAGAGGGCCCAUGCUUAAUGUACGCCCUUCCUCUAACUGCUGAAAUCUAAUAAAACAGUUAAAGGGGACUUAAAAACCUCAUAAAAAAUGAGAUGUUAGUGCUGCAGUUAAAGCUCUAGGAAUUUUACACUAGAAAACAGAGGGUUGUACCUUUGGCUAACAAGAUAGGUUUUGGAUUAAGUUCUUAAGCAACUAUCAGUGCAUAGGUCUUUAUAAUACUAUUGAAUUUUCAGAGAUAUAUGUAUAUAAAA
rnacentral:rRNA from 1 species